GACCUCACUCCCAGGGGCAAAGGGAGCAGUCGUAUUUCGCUACAUCAGGACCCAAAAGUCAGCAGCUCAAAUGAAAUUCUAGAAGCAACAAAUCAGCAAAGCGACGAGCAUAGACAAUUCUAUUCAAGCAUAGGAGCUAAAUAUUACUUGCUUCAGAAUCUCUGCUAUCUGUUGCCUCUGUUGUGAAGGUGGAGUAAUCUCAGCUCCUAGUAUUAUGUCACGAAUCUCAGAUUGGGUAAGAGCUGAAGUAUUCACAUUAUUCUUCUUGGCAUAAUCUGAUAGUAUAAGAUCUCUCAAUUGCAACCUCAACCUGCAUGAUAAAAGAUCUUAGCAACAAACAAGUAAACAUGAACAGAGGCACAUUUUUACAAUACUAGGAUACGGGCAGGUGGUGGAGGCGGUGGCGACGCCAGGCUUCGAUUGGGUUCUUGAGAGCUCUACCCCCACCCUCCCGCUUUCUGUCCUCUCUUACGAAUUUUCCCUAUGACGAUCUGUCCCUUGUGUGUUUUGACUUCUGAGUCCUCUGACCACCCCACUUAAAUCAAAGAAUCGGGUUACUUCCUUUUUUUAUCUUUCCUUUCUCUCCUCUUUUGGUUUACACUUGUUGUGGUGGAUGCUGCCCUUCGUUCUUUUUCAAAAAUUCAGUUGGGUUCUUCUAUCUCUGUUUCAUCUCAACUACGCGGCUCUCUUUGUUGUAUGCUUUUCUUUUGUUGAAUUGACGCGUCAUUUUUUAUUCAGGUCUGUAAGUUUCGUUUCUGGGCUGCAAAUUUUUUGAGUUCUGAAUCGAGAAAAUGGCACAAGGCUAUGGAGUUGAGCUCUACUUCGACCCUGCACUGGAAAAUCAAAGGGUUGGAACGUCCUUGCUCGUCGCCAGAUCAGUUCCCAGCUUAUUGAGAUCGAAUCUCGACCACACAUUACUCUUUCCUCUAGCCCUACCCUUGAUCCUCCAAAACUGGAAAAUGUCAUGAAGAACUUUGCUUCGAAGCAAGUUCAUAUGUUGAUCCUCCAAGAUAUGAAACUAUCUUGAUCCUCCAAGAUAGUUUCAUAUGUUGAAGACAUUAUUCUACAAAACUUGUUGGUUCACAAGAUGAAUAGCAUGCUUGAUGACUUUGUUUUGUUUGUAAGAUGGUUCCAUUAUGAUACAUAUAAAAUUUGUAUUUCUUUUGGGAAUUAUAUGUUUAAUAACUUUGUAAGAUCGUUUCUGAAGUCAUGCAUAUA